CCUCCUUUCUAAGGAUGAGUGAAAGUAAAAUUUCACUCUAAAUAAUAUACAUCGGUAAUGUUGACCGUCCUCAUUUCUCUUCUUAAAGUAAUGUUUCCUUCUUGUAGGGCCGGUAGCUCAGUUGGUUAGAGCACACCCUUGAUAAGGGUGGGGUCGAAAGUUCGAGUCUUUCUCGGCCCACCAAAAACCUAAAUGGGGGAUUAGCUCAUCUGGGAGAGCGCCUGAUUUGCAUUCAGGAGGUAGCAGGUUCGAUCCCUGUAUCCUCCACCAGGAAACAUUUAGUUAUUAAAACUGUAAAUAAAAAU
rnacentral:tRNA from 1 species